GUUUUUUAGUUUUUAUUGAAGGUUGGCUCUGCUCAAUGAUUUUUUUAAAUAGCUGCGGUAAUAUGACUGUGCAAAGGUAGCGUGAUAAUUAGCUUUUUAAUUGAUAGCUGGGAUGAAUGAGUUGAUGAAAUGUGUGCUGUCUUAAUAGUUGGUGGUGUUGAAUUUUUUUGUGUGUUAAAAUGCGUACUUGGGAUUGAGGGACGAGAAGACCCUAUAGAGCUUGAAGGUUAGAAUUUUUUUUUAUUUAGGAGGUUUUUAUCGGGAAUUUUGUUUUUUGGUUGGGGUGACUGGUAGAGGGGUUAAUCUUUAUUUAUUUUUUACGGAUUUAUUUGGUUGUUUGAUUGAGUUUGUUUAUUAUAAGAUAAAGUUACCUUAGGGAUAACAGCAUAAUCUUUUUGGAGAGUUCUUAUCGAUGGGGGGGUUUGUGACCUCGAUGUUGAAUUAAGGUUAAUUUUGGGUGUAGGUGCUUUGGGAUUUAGUCUGUUCGACUAUUAAAACUUUACA
rnacentral:rRNA from 1 species